AGUGAACGCUGGCGGUAGGCCUAACACAUGCAAGUCGAACGGCAGCCCAGUAAGAGCUUGCUCUUACGGGUGGCGAGUGGCGGAUGGGUGAGGAAUACAUCGGAAUCUACUUUUUCGUGGGGGAUAACGUAGGGAAACUUACGCUAAUACCGCAUCCGAUCUACGGGUAAAAGCAGGGGAUCUUCGGACCUUGCGCGAUUGCAUGAGCCGAUGUCGGAUUAGCUAGUUGGCGGGGUCAAGGUCCACCAAGGCUACGGUCCGUAGCUGGUCCGAGAGGAUGGUCAGCCACACGGGAAGUGAGACACGGUCCAGACUCCGACGGGAGGCAGCAGUGGGGAAUAUUGGACAAUGGGCGCAAGCCUGAUCCAGCCAUACCGCGUGAGUGAAGAAGGCCUUCGGGUUGGAGAGCCCUUUUGUUGGGAAAGAAAAGCAGCAGGUUAAUACCCCGCGAUUCUGACGGUACCCAAAGAAUAAGCACCGGCUAACUUCGUG
rnacentral:rRNA from 1 species